UACAGAUAUGGAUCCACUUGUAUUUCAGUCACACUUUUAAAUGGAAAAAGUUGAACACAUAGAAACAUAGACUGACAGCUGCUUAAGCCCAAGGGGCAGAGGGUGGUAGAUGAGAGAAGAGGUCACAGUUCUAGUCAGGGGGAAUAAGUUCUGGUUAUCUAUUAUUAACACUAGUCACUGGGCUGUGCAAUAAGGUACUGCAGAUUUCAAAAAUGUGCUACCAGAGUGCAUUUUAGAUUGUUACUACAAAGAUAAGUAUAUGAGGUGAUAUGUUAAGUGGCCUACUUUUAUCAUUCCAUAAUAUAUACAGGGAUCAACAUGAAGUAGGCAAGCAUAUAAGUUAAAAUUGAUUAGGUCUGUGAGCUGGAAGACCAUGUCUUCGCCUCACCCCUGUGUGACCUCAUGCCCCUGAUACCUUCACCACACCCCCUCUGUGACCUCAUCCCCCGUCCUGGCCACACCUGGGUGACAACCAGCCAAUCAAGUUAAUUAACCACUCCCCCUUUAGAAGUGGGUUAAAAGCCUAGGACAUGAUGUGUCCGGCUCUUCUCUUUUGCCUGGGCUCUUCCCAGGAGGCGGGCUUGCCAUAGCCUGAAGGCCACGUGCCCUAGGCUUUCUGGCCUAGAUACUCCUCCAUGCGGCUGGUUCCUGGUGCUCGAAUGAUGACAUUGGAGGGCUUGUAGCAGCAAAAUGGAACUGAAUUCUCAAAUUCUACUUUGGAAGGAUCAUUCUAGUUGCAUUGCUGAAAAUAAAGUACAUGAAGUUUCCAGGUCAUGCUGAUGCUGCUGGUCUGAGAGUACUCUUGGAGAACUACAACCCUAGCAAACAAAUGUAAAUACAGAAGAGAAGACUUUCAAGGACUGACCUCUGGGGAACUUGUGUUAAGAGAUCAGAGAAAAGACGAGGGCCCGGCUAAGAAGACAGAGCAGGAUCAUCCUGUGAGCUUUUUGGUGGAGUGCUUAGGUUUUUCAAUGUACAACAUCAUGUCAUCUGCAACCAUGGAUGCUUUGACUUCCUCUCAUUUCAAUUUUGAUGCCUUUUAUACCAGCACUCCUGAAGAAAAUCGGACAUAAAUGUGGAACAGCUUGGAUGGAAUGGGGUAAGGGUUACCUCCUAUACCAAAAGGGGUUCAAUGAGAAGUGUUUAGCAUUUGAAUUGGAUUUUACUCUGCAGUAUUUGAGACAGAUUAAAAAGUCCUCAUUUAAUAUCAUGCAGAUAAAAUCCUGUGUUUGGGUGAAUAGAAGCAAAAACAGCUUUCAGAAAACUAUGCAAUAAGAGACUAGAAUUCAGGCUUGAAACUGUUUCUAGAUAUCAGAAAUGUGAGACAGGAAAUAUCUGCUCUUCUAAGGCACCUCUGCAGGCUCUGUCAUUGGGUUUCAUAGCAACCUCUGUAGAUGCCUAUAUUCUCUUAAACCUUUUGUCUAAUGCGCCAACUCACUUUACCACAUAAAACAUCUGACAGGACUCUAAGAGACAUUGACUGAAUCUUGUUUGUU